AGAGAUGUGUGAUGACGCAUAUCAAUAAGCGGAGGAAAAGAAACUAACAAGGAUUCCCUUAGUAACGGCGAGUGAAGCGGGAAGAGCUCAAAUUUGAAAUCUUCAAGGUUCUACCUUGACGAAUUGUAGUUUAUAGAAGUGUUUUCUGUUAGUAGAGUGGCAAAAGUUCUUUGGAAUAGGACAUCAUAGAGGGUGAGAAUCCCGUAUUUGGUCAUUCUUUCUAGCUUUGUGAUACACUUUCAACGAGUCGGAUUGUUUGGGAAUGCAGUCCAAAAUGGGUGGUAAAUUUCAUCUAAAGCUAAAUAUUGGCGAGAGACCGAUAGCGAACAAGUACCGUGAGGGAAAGAUGAAAAGAACUUUGAAAAGAGAGUUAAACAGUACGUGAAAUUGUCAAAAGGGAAGCGUUUGACACCAGUGUUGUUUUUCCGAAAAUCAAUUACGAAUGUUUUAUUUUUGAGAAGUUAUGACUUCAUCGGCUUGCUUCUCUCUUUAUGAAACUUUCUUAAUGCACUGUUCGGUUAACAAGUCAACAUCAAUUUCUUUUGUUGUAAAAGGGUAUGAGGAAGGUGGCUUUCUUUUCGGAGAAAGCGUUUAUAGCCUUGUACCUCUGCAAUCGGAGAGAUUGAGGUCUGCAGCGUAGAUCCUUCGGGGUUAGGAUACAUUUGUGCUAAGUUAUAGCUUUUCAUAGACAACUUGUUGACUAUGUUUAGUCUUGUAGCUUACUCGCUUAUGCUAUUUUACCUACGCUUAGGAUGUUGAUCUGUAGUGCGUGCGC
rnacentral:rRNA from 1 species